GACCUCCUGAUGCUUACCACAGGCAGAGCCUAUUAUAGCACUGACUGUAUAGAAAAGGAGGAAUAAUAAAUUACCCUUGUUACACCACAGCCAAUGAGACUUGUACUUUGUGCUGUAUUGUAGACAGGGGCAUAGUG